rnacentral:lncRNA from 1 species
AAGUCAAAAUGAUACUAGCAUUACACUGCAAUUCUAUCAGAAAGAUUAGAAUACAAAUCAAUAUAUUAAAAAAAGAGACAACUAUCUGUAAGUAUAGCCUGGACUAAUAAAAGGGAAAAAAGCUAAAGUUUUAUAUAAAGUGCAGUUAUGCUUGUAAAUUGACUUAAAAUCUCACGUACAUUUAAAAAAUAAUUUAAUUUCUACCUCUUAGCUUUGGACGCUAUUAGAGAAAGAAAACAUUUGAGGAACAAACGCUGUAAGUAUUCAUGCUUUUAAAUUAUGCCAGAUAUUGAAGUUCUUAGCAUGUCCAUUCACUCCCCAGUUUAAUACGGGUCUGGUCGAAACCACGCAGUACCAUUCAAGUGAGGCACCUGGUCUGUCAGUGCACAUACCCAAGGACAGUCUUGGUAUGGAGGAGAGAAAGAAGCAAUACAGCAAGGGGUUUUAAAGCAUGGCAUAAAUCAGAGGAAAAUUGUAUUUUAAGUUUUCGGUGAAUGUGGCAAGCUAGCAAAAGUGAAUACCUCUACAUUUCAAUACAAAUACGAAGACUGCGUUGCAAAGGAAGUGCACGCAAGGACAGAUGUUCACAUCUCAUACUGGACUGGAGGCAAACCUAAACCUUUAUGAUAGGAAUAUAUCUGAUAUAGAACCAAUUAUAAAGACUUUCUGCCAUACAUUGUGACCACUAAUAUUUUAUCACUACUUUUGCAGAGUAAUCUGCAAUUAAAGAGAUAGCAUAAAGAAUGAAAUAUUUAAAAGUCCUUCUGGCAUAACCCACCCCCUGAGUUAAAUGCUGACAGCUAGAGAAAGAACACACAGAGCUAUCUAUUCAGAGGCAGCACCGUGAAUACAUUCAAUUAAAACUGCGAAGCAUCAUCUUGAAAAAGGGGAUACGGCAACUGCAUUUCCCACGAGGAGCCAGACCUCACCUCAACUGAUACACUACAUGCUCUUGCAAGGUGGAAGAUUUCAUCCUUCCCAUGACAAAAAAAAAAAAAAAUCUGCAGAGGAGAAAAACCACUUACCUUAAUUUCUUUUUGGAGAAAAAAAAAUAAUUAAAAAAAUAUCAACAAAAGAGGUCGGCUCCAGCACCUUGAACAGCAAACGCAUCUGCGAAGACGCUGGCGAGAGCGGAGCGGCGAGGCGGCAGCGAGCGAAGCAGGGGCCACUGUGGCUGUGCCCCCUUUCCCGG